AAAGACUUAGUCCUAACCUUACCGUUAGUUCUUGCUAUAUAUAUACAUGCAAGUAUCCGCAUUCCAGUGAAAAUGCCCUCAACAUCUUACCAAGAUAACAGGAGCAGGCAUCAGGCUCACCCCUCCUCCCUCCGUAGCCCAAGACGCCUUGCCUAGCCACACCCCCACGGGUAUUCAGCAGUAAUUGACAUUAAGCAAUAAGUGUAAACUUGACUUAGUUAAAGCAAUCCUUAGGGUUGGUAAAUCUUGUGCCAGCCACCGCGGUCAUACAAGAAACCCAAAUUAACCUUACACGGCGUAAAGAGUGGUUCUUCAUUAUCAACUCAACUAAGAUUGAAAUGCAACCAAGCUGUUAUAAGCAUAAGAUGCACCUAACGUCUCCUAUUAAAACGAUCUUAGCCACCUGACUGAUAAAACUCCACGAAAGCUAGGACACAAACUGGGAUUAGAUACCCCACUAUGCCUUGCCCUAAAUCUUGAUGUUCUUCCUACCCAAGCAUCCGCCCGAGAACUACGAGCACAAACGCUUAAAACUCUAAGGACUUGGCGGUGCUCCAAACCCUCCUAGAGGAGCCUGUUCUAUAAUCGAUAAUCCACGAUACACCUAACCAUCUCUCGCCAUAUCAGCCUAUAUACCGCCGUCGCCAGCUCACCCUCAUCCUGAAGGCCUAACAGUGAGCACAAUAGCCCUCUCCCCCGCUAACAAGACAGGUCAAGGUAUAGCUUAUGAGAUGGAAGAAAUGGGCUACAUUUUCUAAUAUAGAAAACCCCACGACAAGGAAUGUGAAACCAUCCCUAAAAGGCGGAUUUAGUAGUAAAGCAGGAUAAUCAUGCCUUCUUUAACCUGGCCCUGGAGCACGUACAUACCGCCCGUCACCCUCCUCAAAAGCUGCCACCACCCACAAUUCAUAAAAUACCCCCAAGCUAAAGACGAGGCAAGUCGUAACAAGGUAAGUGUACCGGAAGGUGCACUUAGUCUAC
rnacentral:ncRNA from 1 species